rnacentral:misc_RNA from 1 species
CACAAAAUUAAAAUAUGAAGGCUUCGGCCUGGAUUAUUUUUUAUCACCCUUGUCUUUUGCGCACUUGUUGUUUUCCUGGGCAGGUUCGCCCGCCACCAGGACCACACCAUAAACCUUUUUUAUGCAGUUGCAAUCAGCGUCAGUAUAACAAAUGUAAAUCAUUUA